rnacentral:rRNA from 1 species
UACGUAGGGGGCUAGCGUUGUCCGGAAUCAUUGGGCGUAAAGAGCGUGUAGGCGGCCCGGUAAGUCCGCUGUAAAAGUCAAAGGCUCAACCUUUGAAUGUCAGUGGAUACUGCCGGGCUAGAGUCCGGAAGAGGCGAGUGGAACUCCUGGUGUAGCGGUGGAAUGCGCAGAUAUCAGGAAGAACACCAACGGCGAAGGCAGCUCGCUGGGACGGUACUGACGCUGAGGAGCGAAGGCGUGGGGAGCGAACAGG